CACGUAGGGUGCGAGCGUUGUCCGGAAUUACUGGGCGUAAAGGGCGCGUAGGCGGCACUGUUAGUCAGGCGUGAAAGUCCUGGGCUCAACCUGGGAACUGCCCUUGAUACAGCACGUCUUGAGUCCGAGAGAGGUGGAUGGAAUUCCUAGUGUAGAGGUGAAAUUCGUAGAUAUUAGGAAGAACACCGGUGGCGAAGGCGGUCCACUGGCUCGGUACUGACGCUGAGGUGCGAAAGCGUGGGGAGCA
rnacentral:rRNA from 1 species